rnacentral:rRNA from 1 species
GCCUUGCUCUUCUUGGAUGAGUUGCGAACGGGUGAGUAACGCGUAGGUAACCUGCCUGGUAGCGGGGGAUAACUAUUGGAAACGAUAGCUAAUACCGCAUAAAAUUGAUUAUCGCAUGAUAAUCAAUUGAAAGGUGCAAAUGCAUCACUACCAGAUGGACCUGCGUUGUAUUAGCUAGUUGGUGGGGUAACGGCUCACCAAGGCGACGAUACAUAGCCGACCUGAGAGGGUGAUCGGCCACACUGGGACUGAGACACGGCCCAGACUCCUACGGGAGGCAGCAGUAGGGAAUCUUCGGCAAUGGACGGAAGUCUGACCGAGCAACGCCGCGUGAGUGAAGAAGGUUUUCGGAUCGUAAAGCUCUGUUGUAAGAGAAGAACGAGUGUGAGAGUGGAAAGUUCACACUGUGACGGUAUCUUACCAGAAAGGGACGGCUAACUACGUGCCAGCAGCCGCGGUAAUACGUAGGUCCCGAGCGUUGUCCGGAUUUAUUGGGCGUAAAGCGAGCGCAGGCGGUUAGAUAAGUCUGAAGUUAAAGGCUGUGGCUUAACCAUAGUACGCUUUGGAAACUGUUUAACUUGAGUGCAAGAGGGGAGAGUGGAAUUCCAUGUGUAGCGGUGAAAUGCGUAGAUAUAUGGAGGAACACCGGUGGCGAAAGCGGCUCUCUGGCUUGUAACUGACGCUGAGGCUCGAAAGCGUGGGAGCAAACAGGAUUAGAUACCCUGGUAGUCCACGCCGUAAACGAUGAGUGCUAGGUGUUAGACCCUUUCCGGGGUUUAGUGCCGCAGCUAACGCAUUAAGCACUCCGCCUGGGGGAGUAC